rnacentral:snRNA from 1 species
CUACGAUACCUGGCAGAGGAGAAAAAAUAAUCACCUAGGUGUUUUUCCCAAGGUGAGGCUAAUCCCUUAUACUCUGACUGUGCUGAUUUCUUGUGAUUUCCCCAAGUUGGGUAACUCGAGGGCAUAGAUUUUGGUAAGUGGACAUGGAGUAGCGCUUCCCCUUCUU